rnacentral:tRNA from 1 species
UUUUAUUUGGAAGAUAGCAUAGUUGUAUUUAAUUUAGGAUUAAAAGGUUAAACAUAAGUUUGUAUUAGAG